GAUGAACGCUGGCGGCGUGCUUAACACAUGCAAGUCGAACGGAAAGGCUCCUGCUUGCAGGGGUACUCGAGUGGCGAACGGGUGAGUAACACGUGGGUGAUCUGCCCUGCACUUCGGGAUAAGCCUGGGAAACUGGGUCUAAUACCGGAUAGGACCACAUUUUGGAUGGUGUGGUGGAAAGUUUUUCGGUGUGGGAUGAGCUCGCGGCCUAUCAGCUUGUUGGUGGGGUAAUGGCCUACCAAGGCGUCGACGGGUAGCCGGCCUGGGAGGGUGUACGGCCAAAUUGGGACUGGGAUACGGCCCCAGAUCCUAAGGGAAGGAGGAGUGGGGGAUAAUGCAACAUGGGGGGAAGCCUGAUGCAGCGACGCCGCGUGGGGGAUGACGGCCUUCGGGUUGUAAACUCCUUUCGCUAGGGACGAAGCGCAAGUGACGGUACCUGGAGAAGAAGCACCGGCUAACUACGUG
rnacentral:rRNA from 1 species